CUCGUAGGCGGCUUGUCACGUCGGGUGUGAAAGCCCGGGACUUAACCCCGGGUCUGCAUUCGAUACGGGCUAGCUAGAGUGUGGUAGGGGAGAUCGGAAUUCCUGGUGUAGCGGUGAAAUGCGCAGAUAUCAGGAGGAACACCGGUGGCGAAGGCGGAUCUCUGGGCCAUUACUGACGCUGAGGAGCGAAAGCGUGGGGAGCGAACA
rnacentral:rRNA from 1 species